rnacentral:rRNA from 1 species
AUUGAACGUUUUGCGGCGGGCCUAACACAUGCAAGUCGAACGCACUAGCAAUAGUGAGUGGCGCACGGGUGCGUAACACGUGGGUAAUCAACCCUUCAGCUUGGGAUAACGACUUGAAAGGGUCGCUAAUACCGGAUUACGGCGAGAGAGGCUUCGGCAUUUCUCGAGAAAGCCUCGCAAGGGGCACUGAAGGACGAGCCUGCGGCCCAUCAGCUAGUUGGUGAGGUAAGAGCUCACCAAGGCGAAGACGGGUAGCUGGUCUGAGAGGAUGAUCAGCCACACUGGAACUGAGACACGGUCCAGACUCCUACGGGAGGCAGCAGUGGGGAAUAUUGCGCAAUGGGCGAAAGCCUGACGCAGCCACGCCGCGUGAGCGAUGAAGGCCUUCGGGUCGUAAAGCUCUGUGGGGAGAGACGAAGAAAGCCCGUGAAGAGCGGGCCUUGACGGUAUCUCCUUAGCAAGCACCGGCUAACUCCGUG